rnacentral:rRNA from 1 species
AUUGAACGCUGGCGGCAGGCCUAACACAUGCAAGUCGAACGAGUGGCGGACGGGUGAGUAAUGUCUGGGAAACUGCCUGAUGGAGGGGGAUAACUACUGGAAACGGUAGCUAAUACCGCAUACCAUCGGAUGUGCACAGAUGGGAUUAGCUAGUAGGUGGGGUAAAGGCUCACCUGGGCGACGAUCCCUAGCUGGUCUGUGAGGAUGACCAGCCCAAACUGAACUGAUACACGGUUCAGAUCCCUACGGGAGGCAGCAUUGGGGAAUAGUGCACAAUGGGCGGAAGCCUGAGGCAGCCAGCCCGCGUGUGUGAAGAAGGCCUGCGGGUUGUAAAGCACUUUCAGCGGGGAGGAGUUACCCGCAGAAUAAGCAACGGCGAACUCCGUUCCAGCCGCCGCGGUAAUUC